CCUACGGGAGGCAGCAGUGAGGAAUAUUGGGCAAUGGACGAGAGUCGGAACCAGCCAAGCAGCGUGAAGGAUGACGGCCCGAUGGGUUGUAAACUUCUUUUAUAAAGGAAUAAAAUGAGGCACGUGGGCCUUUUUGCAGGUACGUUAUGAAUAAGGAUCGGCUAACUCGGUGCCAGCAGCGGCGGUAAUACGGAGGAUCCGAGCGGUAUCCGGCUUAAUUGGGGUUAAAGGGAGCGUAGAUGGGUUGUUAAGUCAGUUGGGAAAGCUUGCGGCUCACCCGGAAAAUUGCAAUUGAUACUGGCAGUCUUGAGUACGGUUGCGGUAGGCGGCCUUCGUGGUGUAGCGGU
rnacentral:rRNA from 1 species